rnacentral:snRNA from 8 species
AUACUUACCUGGCAAGGGAGAUACCGUGAUCAAGAAGGCGGGUUCACCCAGGGCGAGGCUCAGCCAUUGCACUCCGGGCUGUGCUGACCCCUGCGAAUUUCCCAAAUGUGGAAAUCUCGAUUGCAUAAUUUAUGGUAGUGGGGGACUGCGUUCGCGCUCGCCCCUG